rnacentral:rRNA from 1 species
ACAGCAGUAGCCGCGGGAAUACGUAGGGUGCACGCGUUAAUCGGAAUUACCGGGCGUAAAGCGUGCGCAGGCGGUUCGUUAAGACAGAUGUGAAAUCCCCGGGCUUAACCUGGGAACUGCAUUUGUGACUGGCGGGCUAGAGUAUGGCAGAGGGGGGUAGAAUUCCACGUGUAGCAGUGAAAUGCGUAGAGAUGUGGAGGAAUACCGAUGGCGAAGGCAGCCCCCUGGGCCAAUACUGACGCUCAUGCACGAAAGCGUGGGGAGCAAACAGGAUUAGAUACCCCAGUAGUCCCUGUCUCUUAUAC